rnacentral:rRNA from 1 species
CGGGGAAUUUUGGACAAUGGGCGCAAGCCUGAUCCAGCCAUGCCGCGUGAGUGAAGAAGGCCUUCGGGUUGUAAAGCUCUUUCGCGAGGGAAGAAAACUUACUCAAUAACACUGGGUGAGGAUGACGGUACCUUGAUAAGAAGCACCGGCUAACUACGUGCCAGCAGCCGCGGUAAUACGUAGGGUGCGAGCGUUAAUCGGAAUUACUGGGCGUAAAGCGUGCGCAGGCGGUUUGACAAGUCAGAUGUGAAAGCUCCGGGCUCAACCUGGGAACUGCGUUUGAAACUGUCAGGCUAGAGUGUGUCAGAGGGAGGUAGAAUUCCACGUGUAGCAGUGAAAUGCGUAGAGAUGUGGAGGAAUACCGAUGGCGAAGGCAGCCUCCUGGGAUAACACUGACGCUCAUGCACGAAAGCGUGGGGAGCAAACAG